UACGUAGGCAGCAAGCGUUGUUCGGAGUUACUGGGCGUAAAGCGCACGUAGGCGGCUUGGUAUGUCGGGUGUGAAAUCCCCGGGCUCAACCUGGGAACUGCAUCCGAAACUGCCUUGCUCGAGUAUGGGAGAGGGAAGUGGAAUUUCCGGUGUAGCGGUGAAAUGCGUAGAUAUCGGAAGGAACAUCAGUGGCGAAGGCGACUUCCUGGACCAAUACUGACGCUCAGGUGCGAAAGCGUGGGGAGCAAACAGG
rnacentral:rRNA from 1 species